CUCCGGUUGAUCCUGCCGGACCCGACUGCUAUCAGAGUGGGACUAAGCCAUGCGAGUCAACAUAGCAAUAUGUGGCAUACGGCUCAGUAACACGUAGUCAACAUGCCCAGGGGACGUGGAUAACCUCGGGAAACUGAGGAUAAACCGCGAUAGGUCAUCACUUCUGGAAUGGGUAAUGACUUAAAUCUAUAUGGCCCCUGGAUUGGACUGCGGCCGAUCAGGCUGUUGGUGAGGUAAUGGCCCACCAAACCUGUAACCGGUACGGGCUCUGAGAGGAGGAGCCCGGAGAUGGGCACUGAGACAAGGGCCCAGGCCCUAUGGGGCGCAGCAGGCGCGAAACCUCUGCAAUAGGCGAAAGCUUGACAGGGUUACUCUGAGUGAUUUCCGUUAAGGAGAUCUUUUGGCACCUCUAAAAAUGGUGCAGAAUAAGGGGUGGGCAAGUCUGGUGUCAGCCGCCGCGGUAAUACCAGCACCCCGAGUGGUCGGGACGUUUAUUGGGCCUAAAGCAUCCGUAGCCGGUUCUACAAGUCUUCCGUUAAAUCCACCUGCUUAACAGAUGGGCUGCGGAAGAUACUAUAGAGCUAGGAGGCGGGAGAGGCAAGCGGUACUCGAUGGGUAGGGGUAAAAUCCGUUGAUCCAUUGAAGACCACCAGUGGCGAAGGCGGCUUGCCAGAACGCGCUCGACGGUGAGGGAUGAAAGCUGGGGGAGCAAACCGGAUUAGAUACCCGGGUAGUCCCAGCUGUAAACGAUGCAGACUCGGUGAUGAGUUGGCUUAUUGCUAACUCAGUGCCGCAGGGAAGCCGUUAAGUUUGCCGCCUGGGGAGUACGGUCGCAAGACUGAAACUUAAAGGAAAUGGGCGGGGGAGCCC
rnacentral:rRNA from 1 species